UACGUAGGGGGCAAGCGUUGUCCGGAAUCAUUGGGCGUAAAGCGCGCGUAGGUGGCUUCGUAAGUCCAUUGUGAAAGUCAAAGGCUCAACCUUUGAAUGCCGAUGGAUACUGCGAAGCUAGAGUACGGAAGAGGCGAGUGGAAUUCCUGGUGUAGCGGUGGAAUGCGCAGAUAUCAGGAAGAACACCCGUGGCGAAGGCGGCUCUCUGGGACGGUACUGACGCUGAGACGCGAAAGCGUGGGGAGCGAACAGG
rnacentral:rRNA from 1 species